rnacentral:rRNA from 1 species
UACGGGGGGGGUAAGCGUUGUUCGGAAUUACUGGGCGUAAAGGGCUCGUAGGCGGCCAACUAAGUCAUACGUGAAAUCCCUCAGCUUAACUGGGGAACUGCGUGUGAUACUGGAUGGCUUGGAUUUGGGAGAGGGAUGCGGAAUUCCAGGUGUAGCGGUGAAAUGCGUAGAUAUCUGGAGGAACACCGGUGGCGAAGGCGGCCUGC